rnacentral:ncRNA from 1 species
AUAAAACUAGUCCCCUCGUACGAAAGGAGCUGGGAAUGUUAACCUCUGGUUUACCUGUUGUUUAUGUGCCCAAUAUUAACUUGAUUAAAUCUCCUAGAAUAAACUAAAACAGAUGACGAGGAGUGGGGUGUUACUUUCACAAAGUAAAUUUAUAACAUAGGCACGGCAGGAACGCUAUGUUAACUAAAAUAAGUGCUGAAAGCAUCUAGGCACGAAAUUAUCUUUAAUAUA